AGUCACCGUCGUCCUUGGAACCACAAAGCGCCGGAUUGUGCAGACCCUUCCUCGAAUGCUUGGAUCGGACCUCAUUACAUACUUUUCUGGGCAUGUGAGCAUGUGGUUGGGCGUUUCACUGCUCCAGCUAGCUGAUAUUCUCAGCAAAGUCUACAAACAGCUUUGCUCUCUGAAUGAAUCUGCAACUUCAAUGCCGUUUUAAAGGACAAUACCCAAGAAUGGCUGACCGGCAAGAAAGUUUGAGAAUGAAGGGCAUCAUAUGUCUGCUUAUUCGGUUUCGUGGCGAAUUAAUACCUCACUUUAACUUUCUUACUGCACAUAACGCACACAAGAUGAAGCAAGAUGACUGCCUAUAUCAAGCAGCAGUCCUUUUAAUAUACCGAGCUGACAAGCCCACUGCGUGUGAUUACUGCAUCAUUAGCAUACAAGCCUGUCAUAUACGUCACAAUCGAAAUAAAAUUUUUGUGAGCAC